rnacentral:lncRNA from 1 species
AACCCAGUGGAUGUUCAAUGUAGGAUGGAGGCAUGAAGUUUUUGGAUGGGCUGAGAGGCUCGAUCCUGGAGACUGCAGGGGUACCUUCAGGUGAUAGGCAGAAAAAAUGGUCAGAAGACAGUGGAAGGCAGGAGGAGCAUCAGGGGCUGACCCAGGGAUGUGGAUAUAAUAACAGGGCUACAUCUGGGGUGCAGAGCACAGGCACCUCCCACCCACACUAUGGCAACAAGCACCUGCCUGCACCCCCCGCCCCCCAAGGCUGGACCAGCUGCUCAGCCCAGGCGGGUCCCUCUUUUGGACCUCCGCUAACAACCCGAGAGCAGGGGACAGGAUUACACCGACUUUGUCCCUCCAGCCUAGAGAUACUUAUUUAAAAUAUCCUGAACAUCCUCUCUACUUUUGGACCAAAAAAUAGCGGGGCAUUCUCUUCUUAAUUCUAAUUUAAUUUAAAAUGUUGGACACAGGGUCUGCCAUGUACCCCACGCCGGCCUCAUGUUCUCACUCCUGAGCUCUGACGUCACACAAAGGUUAAGGGGUCAUCUGCUGCCUUAGUCUCAGCUCAGCCUCUUUCCACACACCUGCUGCCACCACUAACCUACUUGUCCCGAGGACACUACUUCCUUCCUGAUUCUGGGCUGUGUGGACUUUUCCAGUGAGGAUUGAGGCUUCAUCGACCAAUCAGAACAGCCUGCUUUCAGGCUUCCAUUGGAUCAUACAAGGACAUGUUGCAACUAAAAAGCUCCUGUUGUAACAGAAAAAAGACACAAAGGAAACCCACAACUCCACUUCUCAGUACCAGCCCAGCAAUGGAGAAACGGAUGGCCAGUUGGCCAGUCGGCUCAACUAUUAUACUAGGGAGCUGAUCCCCAAAGAAAGCCAGAAGCAUCAGGCGAGCCUGGCUUCCUGACACCCCUGAGGCAAAGAUGCCGCUCCCUCCUCCUAAAGCUGGAACUGAUCCUCCCGACCCAUGGUUCCUGAGUGGAGGAAGCCAGUGGCCCGCUGUGUCUGCUCCCUCGAGGGCAGGAGCCCAGAGCAGCGGGGCCAGGAGGGGAACAGGAAGGGUGACUAACGCAGGGCUGCUCUCAAAGGAAAAAGUGAGCUGGUGUCCGGCUGCCCUGCAGGCACCACCGCGCCCAGCACCCGUGAUGGGCAGAUCAUAGAGGGACCUGUCUGCCCGCAAUGGAGGCGCUCUAGGGAGACUGAGGCAGAAAAGGUGCCCACAGAGUGAAUACGAGGCAGAGAGGCAUCGAGAUCCUUCUCUUCUCCUCCCAAGCAGCUUCCCACCUGCGUGUGUGGCCCAGAGCAAUAGAGCAAAAGAGGGA